UUAGCUCCAUAUAAUUGCCCAUGAAGGAGCUCUAACGCUGAUUGGUUAUUGUGUUUUUGUAUCUGACUGUUUUGAUGACUGAUUGGUUAGAAGAGAUGUUUGAGUUUUCUCCUGGUUAAGUGGAGAUGGAAAGAGAAACCGGAAAGAUGUUGGACCUGAAUUCACCUAAAAGCAAACAGAUGAUGAGAAUCUGAUAUGCAAUUUUAAAAAGUUCCGAUUCGGUUCUGUUCGCGCCCCUGUGGAGGAUCUGGACCGGUUCUGGUGGAUCUGGACCCAGCUCUGGUUCUGGGUGCCGCUGGUGGAGGAGUGACGUCACACCUGAACUUUGGACUUCUGUCCAGGUGCUGAACAAACAGGAGGUGUGAGAAAUAGUUUUCAACCAGCUCAUUAACUCGGACUGGUUCUGUUUUACGCUUCCAGAACCGCAGAUGAAGUCAUGGAAACCCGCUGCUGGGAAACCGGUCGCCAUGGGUUACCAGCAUUCACCUGGGAUCUGCAGGAAAAGUUUCGGCAAACAGAGGAGAGCGGGAUUACCAGAGCGCAGACUGGUACCAUAACACCAACAGCGUCUCAGGCCCGUUUCCCACACACCAGGCCGAAACAUGUGGAAGCGUUUAAAGAUGGCAGCCUCCAAUCACCGCGUCGUCCGUCACCCGACACCGCCCUGAGAGGGCCGUGAACCCGACAGACCAGAGGUCAGCGGCGACGAGGCCAAGCUCCAGGGCGGACCGCGGGCCUCCGGACCGGGCCGACCGGCGCGUACCGGGCCGACCGGGCGCAACAUGAUCCAGGCAGGAUGUGGGCUGAUGCCGUUCGGGUCCAAACUCUUUACCUCCUGAGCCAAAACUGUCAACCUGAAAGUAACUGAUAUUUUAAAAUCUGGCAUUUAAAAAUUGAGAUAAAAAGCUAAAUGUUUGAUUUUUAUCUGCACAACUAACACAACACAAUAUUUUAAUAAC